rnacentral:rRNA from 1 species
UACAGAGGGUGCGAGCGUUGUUCGGAAUUAUUGGGCGUAAAGCGCUUGUAGGCGGCACGUCAAGUCGCGUGUGAAAUCCCCAGGCUUAACCUGGGAAGUGCGCGCGAAACUGACGAGCUUGAGUGCCGGAGAGGGUCGCGGAAUUCCCGGUGUAGAGGUGAAAUUCGUAGAUAUCGGGAGGAACACCAGUGGCGAAGGCGGCGCCUGGACGGUAACUGACGCUGAGACGCGGAAAG